CUGUUAAAUAUAUUAGUCUGGAGCAACAAACAAACCAACAGAAAAUCUUAAUUUUGCAUAAUAGAGCACGUGAAAUAAAUGAAGAAUGUAAGUAUUGGACACCUAUGCUCCCGCUUGUAAGUAAGUAAAAGACAAAUUCUGCAAUUUUUCAAUAAACAAAGGGACAUGCUUAAAGAACUGCGGCAGUGAUGCCAUAUCAGUAUUUG
rnacentral:lncRNA from 1 species